UUAGGUAAAUCCGGUUCUUCAUAACGCUGAGAUACGAUGUCGAGCCACUACGGUGGUGAAGUCAUUGAUGCCAUGCUUCCAGGAAAAGCCUCUAAGCUUCAGAUUGUAAGGAAUCGUACCCCAAACCGACACAGGUGGUCGGGUAGAGAAUACCAAGGCGCUUGAGAGAACUCGGGUGAAGGAACUAGGCAAAAUGGUACCGUAACUUCGGGAGAAGGUACGCUCUUAUCGGUGAAGUCCCUCGCGGAUGGAGCUGACGAGAGUCGCAGAUACCAGGUGGCUGCAACUGUUUAUUAAAAACACAGCACUGUGCAAAAUCGUAAGAUGACGUAUACGGUGUGACGCCUGCCCGGUGCCGGAAGGUUAAUUGAUGGGGUUAGACUUCGGUCGAAGCUCUUGAUCGAAGCCCCGGUAAACGGCGGCCGUAACUAUAACGGUCCUAAGGUAGCGAAAUUCCUUGUCGGGUAAGUUCCGACCUGCACGAAUGGCGUAAUGAUGGCCACGCUGUCUCCACCCGAGACUCAGUGAAAUUGAAAUCGCUGUGAAGAUGCAGUGUACCCGCGGCUAGACGGAAAGACCCCGUGAACCUUUACUACAGCUUGGCACUGAACAUUGACCCUACAUGUGUAGGAUAGGUGGGAGACUUUGAAACCGCGUCGCUAGAUGUGGUGGAGUCGUCCUUGAAAUACCACCCUUGUAGUGUUGAUGUUCUAACGUUGGUCCCUGAAUCGGGAUUACGGACAGUGCCUGGUGGGUAGUUUGACUGGGGCGGUCUCCUCCCAAAGAGUAACGGAGGAGCACGAAGGUGGGCUAAUCACGGUUGGACAUCGUGAGGUUAGUGCAAUGGCAUAAGCCCGCUUGACUGCGAGAAUGACAAUUCGAGCAGGUGCGAAAGCAGGUCAUAGUGAUCCGGUGGUUCUGAAUGGAAGGGCCAUCGCUCAACGGAUAAAAGGUACUCCGGGGAUAACAGGCUGAUACCGCCCAAGAGUUCAUAUCGACGGCGGUGUUUGGCACCUCGAUGUCGGCUCAUCACAUCCUGGGGCUGAAGUCGGUCCCAAGGGUAUGGCUGUUCGCCAUUUAAAGUGGUACGCGAGCUGGGUUUAGAACGUCGUGAGACAGUUCGGUCCCUAUCUGCCGUGGGCGUUGGAAGAUUGAAGGGGGCUGCUCCUAGUACGAGAGGACCGGAGUGGACGAACCUCUGGUGUUCGGGUUGUCAUGCCAAUGGCAUUGCCCGGUAGCUAAGUUCGGAAUCGAUAACCGCUGAAAGCAUCUAAGCGGGAAGCGAGCCCUGAGAU
rnacentral:rRNA from 1 species